CCUACGGGUGGCAGCAGUAGGGAAUCUUUCACAAUGGGCGAAAGCCUGAUGGAGCAACGCCGCGUGCAGGAUGAAGGCCCUCGGGUUGUUAACUGCUUUUAUAAGCGAGAAAUAUGAUGGUAACUUAUGAAUAAGGAUCGGCUAACUACGUGCCAGCAGCCGCGGUCAUACGUAGGAUCCGAGCAUUAUCCGGAGUGACUGGGUGUAAAGAGUUGCGUAGGUGGCAUAAUAAGUAGCUAGUGAAAUCUGGUGGCUCAACCAUUCAGACUAUUAGCUAAACUGUUAAGCUCGAGACCGUUAGAGGUAACUGGAAUGUCUGGUGUAGGAGUGAAAUCCGUAGAUAUUAGAAGGAACACCGAUAGCGAAGGCAGGUUACUGGGGCGGUUCUGACACUAAGGCACGAAAGCGUAGGGAGCGAACGGGAUUAGAUACCCCUGUAGUC
rnacentral:rRNA from 1 species